rnacentral:rRNA from 1 species
AAAAGCACCCCGACGAGGGGAGUGAAACAGACCCUGAAACCGGAUGCCUACAAACAGUUGGAGCCCGAAAGGGUGACAGCGUACCUUUUGUAUAAUGGGUCAGCGACUUAAUUUAACGAGCAAGCUUAAGCCGGUAGGUGUAGGCGUAGCGAAAGCGAGUCUGAACAGGGCGCCUUAGUUCGUUGGAUUAGACCCGAAACCGAGUGAUCUAGCCAUGGCCAGGUUGAAGGUGCGGUAACACGCACUGGAGGACCGAACCCACGCCUGUUGAAAAAGUCGGGGAUGAGCUGUGGCUAGGGGUGAAAGGCCAAUCAAACUCGGAAAUAGCUGGUUCUCCGCGAAAUCUAUUUAGGUAGAGCGUCGGAUGUAUUCUCCCGGGGGUAGAGCACUGGAUGGGCUAUGGGGGCUUACCGCCUUACUGAUCCUAACCAAACUCCGA